AACCCAUAAAUUUCAUAUAGCCAAAUUCAUAUCACAGCCUCGGACGGAUCAUGGCAGGAGCUCCUCCGGCAGUCUAGCAGGUUCUCCCUCGACCCCGCCCUCAGCCUCAGCCUCUAUGGCUGAAGCUCCAUGUUCCACAAGCUCACAGCUGCUGAACCACAUCAUCGUUGUCAUCUUCUUCUUCUUGUUGCUCUCAUGCUUCCCUUGCCUCUCCUUUUCAUUUGUGCUUCUGUAGAUCUAUUUCAUUUAUGGAUUGACCCCCUGAACUGGAAGGUUUUGCCAAUUUUUCGACACCAAUUGAAGAAGAUCUGCCAAUCAAUCUUACAUUCUGGUACAAAUCGAUUUUUUUUUCGUCAUUUUUAAUUUUGUGCUUUGGGAGUUAGGGUUUCGAUCUCUCCACAGCAGAAGCUACAGCUACGCACGGGGUUCUUUUUUGUCCUUUCUUCUCUCAUGGUAGCUGAUCCUAAUCAUCUGUGAUUCCAUACUCAGAAAUCCUUCUGCAGGUCUCCACAAAUUUGUUUGGCUAUCCCUGUGUUGUAUUGUUGUGUGUUGCUGCAAUAACUCACUGUCCCUGAAUCGAUUCUCCUGGACAAACCUAGCUCCGAAAUUUCGAAGGAUUGAGCUGCUCCAUCCACACAAAUCAUGGAUUCGCCGCAGAAAUGCGAGAAGGUCCUUGAGGAUUCCGAGGAUAGAAUCAGCAACCUUCCAGACUCCGUUCUCUGUUACAUUCUCUCUUUUCUGCCCACAAAAGAUGCAGGCAGAACCAGCGUCUUAUCCACCCGGUGGAAGUACCUCUUCAUCUCCAGCCCUAAUCUCGACUUCGACGAUUCUUUCCGCCGUAAAGGGUCUCGUCAUAGAUUCGUGAAUUUCAUCUACGGAUUGUUGGCUUUGCGUGGUCCAUCGCAAAUGAAUCGAUUCCGUCUUAAAUGCGAUGUGUACCUCGAUGUUCCACAUGUUAAUACGUGGGUAUCUGCUGCUGUGCGCCGUAAUGUUCAAGAACUUGACAUUGACCUACAAAUGGCGCAUAAUACAGGAGGCACAAACUUGAGUUUGCUGCCGUACGACCUCUUCACUUGUAGAACGCUAGUUGUUCUAAAACUUGAUGUGGAUUAUGACCUCAAUGUUCCUAGUAACGUUUCUUUACCACGUCUGAAGACCCUGCAUCUUCAAUAUCUGUCUCUUCAGUAUGACUCCUUUAAGAGAAUGUUAUCCGGCUGUCCUGUGCUUGAAGAUUUGCUUACAUGUGACUGUAGGUUUGAGGGGGUACAAAUUUUUGAUAUUUCAGUUUCUACGCUUAAAAGGCUUGCUUUGCUCUAUGCUCAAGUUGGCAACUUGGCGGAAGUAGUGAUUGAUGCUCCAUAUCUUCAAUACCUACGCUAUGAAGAUGAUAUGGUGAGAAAAGGCUAUACUUUGAAGGGGCUAACAUGUCUAGUUGAAGCUCAUUUAUGCAUUGAACUGAGUGCGCAGCAAGAGACUGAACAAAAUUUGUUAUUCUAUGCUCCUCCUGUUGCCAAAAUUUUUGAAGCAGUCUCUAAGGUGGUGUCUCUUCAUUUAACUGGAUAUUCUGUGUCGGUUCUUGAAGUCAUCCAACGUUCUGUGCCUACAUUUCCUAACUUGAUCCGUUUGGAGGUUGAUUCCCAUAAUGAUACUGGAUUGGAAAUGCUGGCUGAAUUACUUCGCUGUUCACCUAAUCUUGAGGUGCUAGUAGUUGGACAUGUUUAUAAAGAUGUUGGGAGUUUGACGAGUUUCCGAAUAUUUACUGGUUAUCUGUCAUUACGUCUUAAGGAAGUUGAACUGCAUGAAUUCACUGGGAGCGAACAUGAACUAGAGGUAGUAGAGUAUUUAUUAGAGAGUGCAGAGUCUUUGGAGAAGAUGACAAUUGGAAUUCCUUCCUCCAGGAGGAAACCACAUAUCAGCAAAAAAUUAUUAACAUUUCCAAGGCGGUCGAGGACUUGUCGCAUCUUCGUCACUGGAAAAAGAAACAGAAGAUAUUUGUCUGAUAUUAUGUGAUUGAAGCAGAGUAAGAGAAGUUGCUUAAUUACCACAAUGAAGCAAAUGAGAAGAAACUGCUACAGUGCUAGAGAAUGUUUGUUUUGGAGCUGCCUGAUACUCUCCUGCAACAGCCCCGAUCCUUCAUGCUAGAGCGAUUCUCUCCGAAAAAGACGACGAUGAAAAUCUGUAACAAUUCUCUCAUCAAGAAUCAGAUUUCAUGUGUGGGAGAAGAAUAUGAGUAUCCCUCUUGACUUAGCUGGAAGAAGAAUGUGAGUAUCCUUGUUGACUUAGCUAACAUGUAGUUACAGCUGACAGCUACGCCUGCUGUGGCCUCUGCUGAAGUACACAGUUUACUUGCAAACAACUUAAAAGGUAAAGGAACAGAAGCUUAUAUCUCAGUUUCUUGAAGUCAUGUCCUACCGUCUUUUUCUUGUACCCCCUUUCCACAUGAAUUAAACCCUUUCCAAAAGUGAAACAAUAAGGCCCAGUUUGGAGCUCAGAAUAUAUUAUGGGAAGGGACUCCAGCCACCACCGCACCACUUUGUGAUCGGUGGUGUGGCACCAAAACUGGGGGCAGCCUAACACACCCCAAUGCCGGCCACCUGAUAAAUCACGUGUCUCCAAAGGCAGCAGCGGGUUUCAAACCCUCGACCAUCCGGUGUGGAAGAAGAAUAUGAGUAUCCCUCCUGACUUAGCUAACAUGUAAUUACAGCUGACAGCUACCCCUGCUGUGGCCUCUGCUGAAGUCUACUAAUAUAUUUACACGGUUUACUUGCAGACAAAUUAAAAGGAAUAAAUAAAUUAAAGUAGUCAUGGGGUAAGGAGGAAACCUUCCUUUUCAAAUUCAAAGUCCCUUCAUCAAGAUUCCUUUUCAAACUCAAAUUCUUCUCUCGAAUUUCUUGACACGCCCUUCAGUAUUUGAAGCAUAACUUUUGCUAAAGAACUCCAAAAAGGGUGAUCUGGGUAUCUAUGGAAAGUUAAGAAAAAAUCUCACAACUUUUGUGUUGAAGAUUUUUAAAGAUGGAAGAUCUCGAUAGAGAAAAUCGCACAUCAAGGUCGCGGCAUAAAAGAAGGGAAUUUGGAGAAUCUUAUUUUGGGGAGAUAAGAAGGGAGGACGAUCAGAGCUUUAUAGAAGGAGGAGAUUCGAAGAUAAAAAAAUAAGGAAGAGAAUUUUCUUCACCAUUAGAGAGGGGAAUUCAAAGCUUGGAAAAGAAGAAGAGAGAGGCCGAAUUGGAGUUGUUGAUGAUUGAGAUUCUUAAUCUACAUACAGUUUCCUUUUUAAUUAUUUUAUCUUCUCUUUGUACAAUUUUCAUUAUGAAUUUUAGAAUUAUUUUGGUUUGUUUUGAUUCUAUAAUGAGCUAAUUGUUAUUGCUAAGGUUACGAUGUAACCUCUCCAUGACAAUUCCGAAUCUUAUUUCUAUGUGAUCAUAAUUUUAUCA